rnacentral:rRNA from 1 species
UACGUAGGUGGCAAGCGUUGUCCGGAUUUACUGGGCGUAAAGAGCGCGCAGGCGGUCGUUCAAGUCGCGUGUGAAAGCCCCCGGCUCAACUGGGGAGGGUCACGCGAUACUGAUCGACUCGAAGGCAGGAGAGGGAAGUGGAAUUCCCGGUGUAGUGGUGAAAUGCGUAGAUAUCAGGAGGAACACCGGUGGCGAAGGCGGUUCUCUGGGAAUAUCCUGACGCUGAGGAGCGAAAGUGUGGGGAGCGAACAGG